GGACGGGGCCGCGGGCUCCGAGGGGGAGGGCGGCAGGAAGCAGGACAUCGGCGACAUCCUGCAGCAGAUCAUGACCAUCACCGACCAGAGUUUGGACGAGGCGCAGGCCAGAAAACAUGCGUUAAACUGCCACCGAAUGAAGCCUGCCCUGUUUAACGUGCUGUGUGAAAUCAAGGAAAAAACAGGUAGGACUCAGAUGCCGACCUUUAAGCAUUUUCUUUGGCCAGCUGACUCACUGAACCAGCGAUUAGGACCCAUGACUUAAAUAUUAAAAUUGCAGAAUGUGAGUUCUCCCAAGAUUGAUCGCCUUCUAUAGGGCGUCCUGGUCGCCAAGUUUCUUGGCCAGUUUUGACCCAGCAUUGCUCGUUUCUUUUCCUUAACUCCAUCCCGGCCUCUGAAAUUGGGGCAGACGCAGAGGUUCAGAAGGAAGUUUAUAGAAUGAUGUGCCUUUCGGGGAAAAAUGUGAAAGUAAAAGUCCAUUUCCUGAAGGAAUAUGUUUUGGCCGUAUUUAAAACACUCAUUUGGGGGGAGUUGUUUAAAGUUCCCUUUCCUUUUUCUCUUGCCGUUAGGCCUUAGGCGAAGCAGCCUGGCGGUUCUCGGCGCUGCUUUGGGAUACCUGUGUGGGCCGCCCUCCGCACCACCACGUAGAGCCGCCUGGGCCCUGUGAUUUCGUAGCGGGGCAUGGCUGGGCUUGGGAGACUGUAAUGCCACGAGGUCACGCUUUCUGUUGUUUUUCUAUUUUCGAGACCUCAUAACAUGGACUGACACACUUAUGACACAUCCCAGGAGGGCACUGAAAUUUUAAAGUCACAAUUAAAAAAUACCAGCCACCCAUCAGAGGUGUUCUCAACCCACAGGAAAGGACAUCGAGCAACAUCCCCUCUCUUGUUUAUUUUAAUCCUUAAUUUCCCAAAGUGGGUGAUUCUGUGUCUGGUGAAAAGAAGGCAUUGAGAAGGCAGCCUGAGAGCAGGGCGGGAGUGGAGGCCCGUGGCUACCUGAAGGUUGAGCGGCCGCAGGGCUCUCUCGGGCUGGCUGGCUGGCUGGCUGCGUGAAGCACCUGACAGCCCAGUUAUUUAUUUAUUUUUACAACAAGGAGUGUAACAGUCAAUAAUUCAUACCUAAACCAUAUAAGCAAGGGCAUGACAUGGAUGAAAGUGACAAUAAAUAUGAUUGCAUGCCCGGUUGAUAUACAUUGAUAGUUACACAUAAAAAGGGGGGGCUGGGCGCACAGGGUGGCUUUCUCUUUGAGAGCUUUCUGUGUUUCUCUUUUAAAAAAUAAAUAGUUUCCAGAUGUGACCGUGUGAUGGGCUAUGUAAUUACUCAGGGCUUGGAUUGUAUGAAAAAUUAGCGAGCAGCUCCUUUGUUGGGUGUGAUUUGCGCGGCACAGAGCGUCCGAGACAAAGCACCUGAGAGCGGUGCUCGGACCCCCAGGUUGCCGCGAGCUGCCUGAUUGCCGGGCUGUUAAUUGCGUUAUUUUAGCUGCAAGACACCUUUUAAGAGAUUUAUGGGCUGUGCAUACAAAUAUCAAGGAGCUGUUUCAGUUUGUCAUACUUUUUAGUUUUCGCUUUUCCAUUAGCCUAGAGCAGGGAACCUAUGUGCAAAUAUACAUUUUUCUUGUCUUCUUUCCUUCCUCUCGUUUUCUUUCUUUCUUUUUUCUUUUUUCAUGUGGAUGCUUGACGACUGUGAAUAUUUGGUUUGGUGACAUUGGUUUCUAAUCUGGUCUGCAUCCUGCUGAUCUUGAUUCAUAAAAUGUGGAGUCAGGACGUACAGCCAUGUUGAGGACCCAGGCUCACGAGGCUCUGGUUUUGAGGACCUUGAUCAGAUUUUUAUUGAAAGGAAGCCCAUCAGGGCACUUAGCUGUAUGUUGUGGCCCAAGUGUUUAAUUCCAGUCUUCUGAUUACACCUACUGAGGCAGUCGAUCGAAGUGAGUGGGUUCCGGUGGGGCUGGGGCUGGUUCCUCAUUCACGUUGGCUGAACUGCGGUGGCAGGACACAGUCGCAUUGGUCAAACGAUAUUCCAAAGGUGUAAUUUAUUGUUGGAAUAUAUAUUUUGUUUUUAAAUUUUUCUGUCAUUUAAUGACAUUCAUAUUUAGAGAUUUUUAAAAACCUAAAUUAAGUGUUUGUGUGUUGCCUCUAGAAAAAUAUAUUAAAAAAUACUUUGUCAAGUGCUGUAAGUUAAAAAUGGUAACCAUCACUGGCCCCGUGGAAGAGGGAAAUGCACACACACACACGUAGAGUUUUGGAUUGAUAGGGCAUCCAUGGGUGAAAGUUAAAAAAAAAAAA